rnacentral:rRNA from 1 species
CUUAAGUGGCGGACGGGUGAGUAACGCGUGGGUAACCUGCCUUACACAGGGGGAUAACACUUAGAAAUAGGUGCUAAUACCGCAUAAGCGCACAGUCCCGCAUGGGACAGAGUGAAAAACAUUAGUGGUGUAAGAUGGACCCGCGUCUGAUUAGCUUGUUGGCGGGGUAACGGCCCACCAAGGCGACGAUCAGUAGCCGGCCUGAGAGGGUGGACGGCCACAUUGGGACUGAGACACGGCCCAAACUCCUACGGAAGGCAGCAG